AGAGGGGUGGAUGAGUGGUUUAAGUCGCACGCCUGGAAAGUGUGUAUACGUUAAUAGCGUAUCGUGGGUUCGAAUCCCAUCCCCUCUGCCA
rnacentral:tRNA from 4 species